UACAGAGGUCUCAAGCGUUGCUCGGAAUCACUGGGCGUAAAGGGUGCGUAGGCGGGUCUUAAGUCAGGGGUGAAAUCCUGGAGCUCAACUCCAGAACUGCCUUUGAUACUGAAGAUCUUGAGUUCGGGAGAGGUGAGUGGAACUGCGAGUGUAGAGGUGAAAUUCGUAGAUAUUCGCAAGAACACCAGUGGCGAAGGCGGCUCACUGGCCCGAUACUGACGCUGAUGCACGAAAGCGUGGGGAGCAAACAGG
rnacentral:rRNA from 1 species